GCUUUAUUACAACAUUUUCAAGCGGUCGUAUGGGGAGUUAUCCGGGGACGCCAUGCUCUCCAGCCUUCACUUGAUGCGUACAACAAAAAGGAAGGGGCAGAGUGCGGGAAGAUUGCAGAUUCUAAGAACGCCAUCAUUGUUUCAUGCAGUCCCCUCAUGAGGCGAGUCCAUUCAAUGGUCCCUGAGAGUGCAGAGAUUGUCUUUGUGGACUCUUCUGGGAAUUGUGACAGAACUAAUAGCAGAGUGUUCCUGAUCUUGACCCACUCAGCCAUUGGAGGACUGCCCUUGGGUGUGAUGAUGACAUAAUCCGAGUCUCAAAUUGUCAUCGCUGCAGGACUGCAGCUCCUCAAGAGCAUUCUUCCAGAGGACGCAUUUUUUCGCAGACGAGAGCUCGGUCCACAAGUGGUGAUGACUGAUGACUGCCAGGCAUUACGGCAGGCCCUCAGCGAGUGUUAUACACAGACUACGCCCAUCCUCUGUGUUUUCCACAUUUUGCAGGCGAUGUGGAGGUGGCUGUGGGAUGCACACAAUGUGGUACCAAAGUCUGACCGUCAACACCUGCUACAGCUCUUCAAGGCUAUGGUGUACGCAAAAAAUCCGGGAGAACGGCCUCAUAUCAUGGGGCUCUAGAGGACUCCACGGCAAAGCUUCACCCACGAUACUGCAAAUAUCUAACAGGUAUUUUCAGCAGACGUGAGGCCUCGGAUGUCUCCUUUGAUGUGACACUGUAGGAGGAUAAGGUGAACUUCAUGGUUGACACCCACAAAGAACAGAAACUCACACCAGCUGCCAGGAAGGGAUUUUAUAAAAUUGCCACAGAUUCCCUUUGUGCAGCUGCAGCGGAGAGCCUAGAAAGCCCAGCCCGUGGAGUGGACGAGGCUAGCAUUAGUGAUGGCUGCUCAGCUGGUGAGGAAUCAUCGGAACAAACCAGGCAGAGGCUGGAAAUUCGGGUCAGGGGGAUGAUGGAGGGCAUCAUUGAAAAUUUACAGUCUGGGUUUGACUUGUACAAGGCUCCCAUGGAGAAGAUGCUGGCCUCCUAUGACAGAAUGACAACAGACAGCCAGCUAAUCUCUGCACUGGCCACAUUUGGCCGCAAAGUGCCCCUGCCGGAUCAGGGGCAUGGAGGAUGGCGAGAAGGGGCAUGCAAACAAGCAUGA
rnacentral:lncRNA from 1 species